rnacentral:rRNA from 1 species
AGAGUUUGAUCCUGGCUCAGGACGAACGCUGGCGGCGUGCUUAACACAUGCAAGUCGAACGGGCCUGCCUGGCUUUGGUUGGGUGGGUGAGUGGCGAACGGGUGAGUAACACGUGAGUAACCUGCCCUCUUCUCUUGGAUAACUGCUUGAAAGGGCGGCUAAUACGGGAUGUUCUGGCUGCCUCGCAUGGGGUGGUUUGGAAAGAUUCGGCCUGGUUUUGGUUGUUUUGGUGGGGGAUGGGCUCGCGGCUUAUCAGCUUGUUGGUGGGGUGAUGGCCUACCAAGGCGGUGACGGGUAGCCGGCCUGAGAGGGUGGACGGUCACACUGGGACUGAGACACGGCCCAGACUCCUGCGGGAGGCAGCAGUGGGGGAUUUUGCACAAUGGGCGCAAGCCUGAUGCAGCGACGCCGCGUGAGGGAUGGAGGCCUUCGGGUUGUGAACCUCUUUCGCCAGUGAAGCAGGCCUGCCUCGUUUGUGGGUGGGUUGACGGUAGCUGGAUAAGAAGCGCCGGCUAACUACGUGCCAGCAGCCGCGGUAAUACGUAGGGCGCGAGCGUUGUCCGGAAUUAUUGGGCGUAAAGAGCUCGUAGGCGGCUGGUCGCGUCUGUCGUGAAAUCCUCUGGCUUAACUGGGGGCUUGCGGUGGGUACGGGCCGGCUUGAGUGCGGUAGGGGAGGCUGGAACUCCUGGUGUAGCGGUGGAAUGCGCAGAUAUCAGGAGGAACACCGGUGGCGAAGGCGGGUCUCUGGGCCGUUACUGACGCUGAGGAGCGAAAGCGUGGGGAGCGAACAGGAUUAGAUACCCUGGUAGUCCACGCCGUAAACGUUGGGCACUAGGUGUGGGGGGCCUUUUCCGGGUCUUCCGCGCCGUAGCUAACGCAUUAAGUGCCCCGCCUGGGGAGUACGGCCGCAAGG